AAUGGAUUUGAAGGGAUUGUUUUCUCCUUGGACAGAACAUAAUAUAUAGGACAUGAUUUCAAAUACUAUUGCAGAGCUUGUGUGACAUCUUCAUGUCAUGUCUGUCUGUAAAUAGCUAGCCUGACAUGUUCCGCAUACCAUCAAAAAUGGAGUUGGUGAGGGUUUCUUUUUUUUGCAAUAUGAGUUUGAAGAUUGAAUCA